GAGUCCGCGAGUCGGUGCGUGCCAGUCCGUGCGUGCGCUUUUACCUAAUAAUAUUUCCACGGCCGGAGAGAGUUUCCGUUCUCUCUAUCUCUCUCCUCUCUUCUCUCUUUCAUCCGAUAUACGCAUCUCGCACUCCCUCUGUAUCUCUCUCUCUCUCUCUUUCUCUCUCUCUCUUCGCAUCCGUUUCUACGUGUAUAUAUAUAUAUAUCUCUCUUCCUCGCUCUCUCCCUCUUAGGGUUAGGCGUCCUCGCGUAGAAGGCUUUUCGCGUCGCGACCACCCUCCCCGCCCCGAUCCGACGGGGAUUUCACGAAAGCGAGAGAGGAGAGGAAUCACACGCUGCAGAGCAGCACGUGUGCCGCACUCGCGCGGAUCGGCACAAGCGCGGUUGGUUAUAAUCAUCGUUCUUUUCCUCGCACCGCUUUCGCACAUAAGUCGAACGCGAAAUUGGUCGCGCUCGAGACACUGACUGGACCGGCAAAUCCAAGAUAAAUUCGAGAGGUUAUUAACGCGCGCGACUAGCCGCGAAAGUGAGAGGGGUGUUUUGCCGCGAGCGAACCGAUUUCAACGGAUAAAUCGAUCCCCGCGAGUCGAAUCGAAGUGUUCGAUCCGGCGCGAGAGUGACGUAACCACAACUCGCGGUUCGCGCCCGGAAGGCUGUGCUUAGUAUAUGCGGGGUGCGACGAAAAACGAGACCAGCCAAAGGAUUCGCAGUGGUGCUUUCGCGGAACGAGGACGUCGAAGGGAGGACGGAAACCGUCGGCCGUCGGCAGAUCUUGUGAACGAAAGUGUUCAAAGGCCCGAAGAUUCUGCCUUCGCAGCAACUGGGCGCUGCGGUCGCUCCAUGGCCGGGCGCCACCGGCCUCAUAGGCUCCGUCACUGCUGACGACAUGGCACACAAAGGACACAGCGGGGUGAACCAGCUGGGUGGUGUCUUCGUCGGCGGCCGGCCACUUCCGGACUCGACGCGGCAAAAGAUCGUCGAGCUCGCACAUUCGGGCGCGCGACCUUGCGAUAUCUCCAGGAUACUGCAGGUCAGCAAUGGCUGCGUCUCGAAGAUCCUGGGCAGGUACUAUGAGACCGGAUCUAUAAGGCCCAGGGCUAUCGGUGGCAGCAAACCGCGUGUGGCGACGGCGGAGGUCGUCAACAAGAUCUCGCUCUACAAAAGCGAGUGCCCGUCGAUCUUUGCGUGGGAGAUCCGAGAUCGCUUGCUGCAGGAAGGCGUGUGCACGAACGACAACAUCCCAAGCGUGUCCUCAAUCAACAGGGUACUGAGAAAUCUGGCCGCGCAGAAGGAACAGAGGCAGCAGCAGCAACAGCAACAGCAAGGGGUGGGCGCCGUGGGGGUUGGCGUCGGUGCCGGCAGUCCAGCGGAGAGCGUUUACGAUAAACUCAGGCUAUUAAACGGACAGACCACCGGCUGGCCGCGUCCCAAUCCCUGGUAUCCGUCGAGUGCGGGAAGCCCUUUUUCGUCGAUACAAUCUAGUUUGAGUCCGAGCCAUUGUUCAUCCCUACCACCAGAUCCAGCGGACAUAUUGCACGCGAAGAAAGUAACCGAACUCGAGGGUGGCGCGCAUUCUGACGAGACGAACAGCGGGGGUGACAACAGUAACGCCGGCAGCGUGUCAGGCGGCGCCGAUGACGACCAGGCGCGUCUACGCCUGAAGAGGAAGCUGCAGAGGAAUCGCACGAGUUUCAGCAACGAGCAAAUCGACGCGCUCGAGAAGGAGUUCGAGAGAACGCACUAUCCGGACGUGUUCGCCAGGGAGAGACUCGCCGGCAAGAUCGGCCUACCGGAGGCGCGAAUACAGGUCUGGUUUUCGAAUCGGCGGGCAAAGUGGCGGCGCGAGGAGAAAUUACGCACACAACGGAGGGAUAAUCCGCCACCGCAGCAGCAGCAACAGCAGCAGCAACAGCAACAGCAACACACUGCCGGGGUUAGUCUGGUGGGUGCUGGUCACCCGACGCCGCCACCACCCUCGGGGAUACUCGGAGGCCAGCCGCCACCGCAGGCACCACCCUCGCCCCCCAGAAUACACCACGGAUUCGCGCCCACCGCCGUAUAUCCCGGAAUACCCAGUAUGCCCGACUCAUACAGCCCAAUGACGUCGAUGCCGAGCUUCACGAUGGGUGCCAGUCAGCAGAACCAGCACACGACGAGCAGCAUGUCCUCGCUGUCCACCGGGGGUGGUAUGAGCCCGAUGGGCAUGACCGUGGGUAUGACUGUCGGACCGAGUCCCGGCGCGUGCCUCCAGCAACGGGACAACGGCUACUCGUGCGGGGUCGCGAGACCGCCGAGCUACGAGCCCCUUCAUCUAGGCUACGGCGCCAGGCCCACUUGCAGCCCCACGCAGCCCUAUCACGCGGCGGGCCUCAAUCAGUACAAUCAGAACGCCAGCUCGACCGGUGAGUGUCUACCGCACUCACUGCAUUCGCUGCUUGCACUCUAGCCGAUGGACUACUACUACGGCUACCAUGGAUAACACGCUAUCGAGCCCGCCGGUCUAAUAUCGCCUGGCGUGAGUGUACCGAUCGCGGUACCAGGUCAACCGGCGCCCGACAUGGCGGCGCAAUAUUGGUCACCGAGGCUGCAGUGACCGUGGUGGUCGUCGACGUCGACCUCGUCUCCGUAGACUUGAGCUUCUUCGUCUAUCUAGUUUAUGUUACCGAAAAAGAACGGCACACACGGUUACGCUUGAUUGUGGCGCGAAGUCUCCGCACUUUAUGAUGUUGAUUGUUUGUGCGUGCGACUCUAUCUCGUAACAAAAAUCAAAGUGAUCUAUCAUACCCGUGCGUUUCGUUUAAGCCAAAGCUCUGCAUGGAAACGAGUUUGAUUUGUCCGUGUUCGCGUCCGCUGCUUCCGUUUCUGUAAGGCAAUGAAUGCGUCAUGAACAUCAUUUCACACACAGAAACUUUGACCGAAGAGACAACAUUGUCCGUGAAUUCGCUGACGUUUACUUGCGUGAGAAAAUCAUCCGUGGCACAAAAGAAUCCGAUUCUAUCUAUUCGUCGAAGACGAUGAACUAAAUUUUUAACUAAAUGAUUCUGAUCGAAUCUGUUUAUGUAUUGAUGAUAAAAAUCGAUGUAGUAAUUGUAUAAUUGCAAUACAAAUGUGACACAUGCCGAAUUGGGUUACAAUAGGCGGAUCAAUCAAUUUCUGUGUAUGAUGGUGUGAAUCUUAUUCAUCGUUAAAAUUAAAUUCCUAAUAUCCUGUAUUAAAAAUUAAUAUUUACACUUACGAUUAACAUCUUUCCGAUCAAGUCCCUUUAUUAUUUUUAGACAAAUAAUAAUGCUGCUUUUUCGCACUUUCACUAACAAUGUUAGUGUCGUAAUGUACACGCAAAGAGAUAUUUAUUUCGAGACGCUUUAUCAAAAUCCAAUGACUCGUAAGAACACGUGAUCUUUGUAAGAAAUAUGUCAAUCAAGUGAUAAUUUUUUUUAUAUGAUAUAUCACAAUAUCAAUGAUCGGCAAGGUGUUAUAUGGAAAAAUCUUCCAAAAUAUACAUCCACGUACAUGCACACUUUUAUAAUUACACAGCUUCAUUUUAUUCGUAUACGAUUAUACUUCCAAUAUCUUUGAAAUAGAAUCGGGCAAGGUGAGACGCGGUGAAAAAAAAAAAAGAAAUAAAUCAUCGGCAAUGUGCAACUCGUGUAAAAAUAAUUAGCGUGAAAAUCGAAGAGGGAAAAGAAAGAAAAUCGCUCUCGAGAAUUCUCGCUGUUUUUAUUCGCAACGUUUCGUAGAUGUAAUUCUUGUAGGCGAGAGAAAGGGAAAUAAAAAUAGUUUCUAAGUCGGUAUUAUGUUAUUAUUUAUACUCGUAUAAAACAGAGCGGAGAGAGUCAGGAGAUAAUAAACGUGAGUUUGUUGUGUGUACAUCGUAAGAAUAUCUCGAUCCAGUCAUUUAUAUAUAAAUAUAUACAUAGUUGACUCUAUAAUUCUCUAAAUACACUUGAUAAAAUCAAUUCGUAAAUUAUAUCCGGUGCAAGGUUCGUGAGAGAGGGAGAGAGAGAAAGAGAGAAAAAAAGAAGAACCGAAAAUGCCGAUUGUGAUUUCCCUUAGGCCAGAUAUGUUAAGCGUACGAUUAUGCAUUCUAAAUAAAUAGUGUGUACAUUUAAUCGAGAGUUCUCUCGAUGCUUGUUUUCUAAUCGGAGAAUCCGUUUGCGAGAUCCUAGCGUAUACAUUCGUCCUUGCUAUAUCAAAUAUUAAUUGCAGAGAGUGUGAAGCAACCAUGUGUUUAAUACUGGAUAUCAAUUGAUCAAGAUAAGUAACGAUCGUGCGAUUUCCUAUUAGAAAUCAAGCGCAACUCCUUCCCGAACGUGUUCAUCUCGAUUCGAUAAUUCAUAUGUAUCUCAAUGCCGUUUCGUUAAUCCUCUUAGCAUAAUCGAUAAUCAAUAAAGAUAUCAACGAUCCCUCCUGGUAUUAUCGUCCAAAUCGAAACAAUUGAACCAAUUAUAAAAAAAUAAAGGAAAGCGGAAUGUGUGCAAGCAGAAAGAGACCAUCGUUUUACCUUGCAAAUGUAACAAUUGUAUAUUUAUUUCGAC